rnacentral:rRNA from 1 species
UACGGAGGGUGCAAGCGUUUAAUCGGAAUUACUGGGCGUAAAGCGUGCGUAGGCGGUUCGUUAAGUCUGUUGUGAAAGCCCCGGGCUCAAACUUGGGAAUGGCAAUGGAUACUGGCGAGCUAGAGUGUGUCAGAGGAUGGUGGAUUCCCGGUGUAGCGGUGAAAUGCGUAGAGAUCGGGAGGAACUCGAGUGGCGAAGCGGCCAUCUGGGACAACACUGACGCUGAGGCACGAAAGCGUGGGGAG